AGCGAAUGCUGGCGGCAGGCUUAACACAUACAAGUCGAGCGGGCAUCUUCGGAUGUCAGCGGCAGACGGGUGAGUAACACGUGGGAACGUACCCUUCGGUUCGGAACAACUCUGGGAAACUGGAGCUAAUACCGGAUACGCCCUUAUGGGGAAAGGUUUACUGCCGAAGGAUCGGCCCGCGUCUGAUUAGCUAGUUGGUGGGGUAACGGCCUACCAAGGCGACGAUCAGUAGCUGGUCUGAGAGGAUGAUCAGCCACACUGGGACUGAGACACGGCCCAGACUCCUACGGGAGGCAGCAGUGGGGAAUAUUGGACAAUGGGCGCAAGCCUGAUCCAGCCAUGCCGCGUGAGUGAUGAAGGCCUUAGGGUUGUAAAGCUCUUUUGUCCGGGACGAUAAUGACGGUACCGGAAGAAUAAGCCCCGGCUAACUUCGUG
rnacentral:rRNA from 1 species